rnacentral:rRNA from 1 species
CUGGCUCAGGAUGAACGCUAGCGAUAGGCUUAACACAUGCAAGUCGAGGGGCAGCACGGUGUAGCAAUACACUGGUGGCGACCGGCGUACGGGUGCGUAACACGUAUGCAACCUACCCGCUAUUGGGGGAUAACCCGGCGAAAGUCGGACUAAUACCCCAUAUUAUUCUUACCGGGCAUCCGGUAGGUCUGAAAGAUUUAUCGAUUGCGGAUGGGCAUGCGGAUGAUUAGCUAGUAGGUGGGGUAACGGCUCACCUAGGCGACGAUCAUUAGGGGUUCUGAGAGGAAGGUCCCCCCACACUGGAACUGAGACACGGUCCAGACUCCUACGGGAGGCAGCAGUGAGGAAUAUUGGUCAAUGGGCGCUAGCCUGAACCAGCCAAGUCGCGUGAAGGAUGAACCAGAUCUAUGGUUUGUAAACUUCUUUUGCAGGGGAGUAAAGUGCGACACGUGUGUUGUAUUGCAAGUACCCUGCGAAUAAGCAUCGGCUAACUCCGUGCCAGCCGCCGC